rnacentral:rRNA from 1 species
AGUGAACGCUGGCGGCGUGCCUAAUACAUGCAAGUCGAACGGAAUUUAAAAGAGCUUGCUCUUUUAAAUUUAGUGGCGCACGGGUGAGUAAUAUAUAGCUAAUCUGCCCCUUGCUGGAGGACAACAGUUAGAAAUGACUGCUAAUACUCCAUACUCCUUUUUACCAUAAGAUAAAUCGGGAAAGAAUUUCGGCAAGGGAUGAGACUAUAUCGUAUCAGCUAGUCGGUGGGGUAACGGCCUACCGAGGCUAUGACGCGUAACUGGUCUGAGAGGAUGAUCAGUCACAUUGGAACUGAGACACGGUCCAAACUCCUACGGGAGGCAGCAGUAGGGAAUAUUGCGCAAUGGGGGAAACCCUGACGCAGCAACGCCGCGUGGAGGAUGACACUUUUCGGAGCGUAAACUCCUUUUGUUAGGGAAAAAUAAGACGGUACC